UACGUAGGGGGCUAGCGUUGUCCGGAAUCACUGGGCGUAAAGCGCACGUAGGCGGAUGUGCCAGUCAGGGGUGAAAUCCCGGAGCUCAACUUCGGAACUGCCUCUGAUACAGCACGUCUUGAGUCCGGAAGAGGUGGGUGGAAUUCCUAGUGUAGAGGUGAAAUUCGUAGAUAUUAGGAAGAACACCGGUGGCGAAGGCGGCCCACUGGUCCGGUACUGACGCUGAGGUGCGAAAGCGUGGGGAGCAAACAGG
rnacentral:rRNA from 1 species